rnacentral:rRNA from 1 species
UACAGAGGGUGCAAGCGUUGUCCGGAUUUAUUGGGUUUAAAGGGUGCGUAGGCUGGAAGGUCAGUCAGCGGUGAAAAGCUGUCGCUCAACGAUAGUCUUGCCGCAGAUACUUCCUUUCUUGGAUUAGGAGGAGGUCACUGGAAUAGAUGGUGUAGCGGUGAAAUGCAUAGAUAUCAUCUAGAACGCCAAUUGCGAAGGCAGGUGACUGUACCUAUAUCGACGCUGAUGCACGAAAGCAUGGGGAGCGAACAGG